GGGUUGUGAGGUUAAGCGACUAAGCGUACACGGUGGAUGCCCUGGCAGUCAGAGGCGAUGAAGGACGUGCUAAUCUGCGAUAAGCGUCGGUAAGGUGAUAUGAACCGUUAUAACCGGCGAUUUCCGAAUGGGGAAACCCAGUGUGUUUCGACACACUAUCAUUAACUGAAUCCAUAGGUUAAUGAGGCGAACCGGGGGAACUGAAACAUCUAAGUACCCCGAGGAAAAGAAAUCAACCGAGAUUCCCCCAGUAGCGGCGAGCGAACGGGGAGCAGCCCAGAGCCUGAAUCAGUGUGUGUGUUAGUGGAAGCGUCUGGAAAGGCGCGCGAUACAGGGUGACAGCCCCGUACACAAAAAUGCACAUGCUGUGAGCUCGAUGAGUAGGGCGGGACACGUGGUAUCCUGUCUGAAUAUGGGGGGACCAUCCUCCAAGGCUAAAUACUCCUGACUGACCGAUAGUGAACCAGUACCGUGAGGGAAAGGCGAAAAGAACCCCGGCGAGGGGAGUGAAAAAGAACCUGAAACCGUGUACGUACAAGCAGUGGGAGCACGCUUAGGCGUGUGACUGCGUACCUUUUGUAUAAUGGGUCAGCGACUUAUAUUCUGUAGCAAGGUUAACCGAAUAGGGGAGCCGAAGGGAAACCGAGUCUUAACUGGGCGUUAAGUUGCAGGGUAUAGACCCGAAACCCGGUGAUCUAGCCAUGGGCAGGUUGAAGGUUGGGUAACACUAACUGGAGGACCGAACCGACUAAUGUUGAAAAAUUAGCGGAUGACUUGUGGCUGGGGGUGAAAGGCCAAUCAAACCGGGAGAUAGCUGGUUCUCCCCGAAAGCUAUUUAGGUAGCGCCUCGUGAAUUCAUCUCCGGGGGUAGAGCACUGUUUCGGCAAGGGGGUCAUCCCGACUUACCAACCCGAUGCAAACUGCGAAUACCGGAGAAUGUUAUCACGGGAGACACACGGCGGGUGCUAACGUCCGUCGUGAAGAGGGAAACAACCCAGACCGCCAGCUAAGGUCCCAAAGUCAUGGUUAAGUGGGAAACGAUGUGGGAAGGCCCAGACAGCCAGGAUGUUGGCUUAGAAGCAGCCAUCAUUUAAAGAAAGCGUAAUAGCUCACUGGUCGAGUCGGCCUGCGCGGAAGAUGUAACGGGGCUAAACCAUGCACCGAAGCUGCGGCAGCGACGCUGAUGCGUUGUUGGGUAGGGGAGCGUUCUGUAAGCCUGCGAAGGUGUGCUGUGAGGCAUGCUGGAGGUAUCAGAAGUGCGAAUGCUGACAUAAGUAACGAUAAAGCGGGUGAAAAGCCCGCUCGCCGGAAGACCAAGGGUUCCUGUCCAACGUUAAUCGGGGCAGGGUGAGUCGACCCCUAAGGCGAGGCCGAAAGGCGUAGUCGAUGGGAAACAGGUUAAUAUUCCUGUACUUGGUGUUACUGCGAAGGGGGGACGGAGAAGGCUAUGUUGGCCGGGCGACGGUUGUCCCGGUUUAAGCGUGUAGGCUGGUUUUCCAGGCAAAUCCGGAAAAUCAAGGCUGAGGCGUGAUGACGAGGCACUACGGUGCUGAAGCAACAAAUGCCCUGCUUCCAGGAAAAGCCUCUAAGCAUCAGGUAACAUCAAAUCGUACCCCAAACCGACACAGGUGGUCAGGUAGAGAAUACCAAGGCGCUUGAGAGAACUCGGGUGAAGGAACUAGGCAAAAUGGUGCCGUAACUUCGGGAGAAGGCACGCUGAUAUGUAGGUGAGGUCCCUCGCGGAUGGAGCUGAAAUCAGUCGAAGAUACCAGCUGGCUGCAACUGUUUAUUAAAAACACAGCACUGUGCAAACACGAAAGUGGACGUAUACGGUGUGACGCCUGCCCGGUGCCGGAAGGUUAAUUGAUGGGGUCAGCGCAAGCGAAGCUCUUGAUCGAAGCCCCGGUAAACGGCGGCCGUAACUAUAACGGUCCUAAGGUAGCGAAAUUCCUUGUCGGGUAAGUUCCGACCUGCACGAAUGGCGUAAUGAUGGCCAGGCUGUCUCCACCCGAGACUCAGUGAAAUUGAACUCGCUGUGAAGAUGCAGUGUACCCGCGGCAAGACGGAAAGACCCCGUGAACCUUUACUAUAGCUUGACACUGAACAUUGAGCCUUGAUGUGUAGGAUAGGUGGGAGGCUUAGAAGUGUGGACGCCAGUCUGCAUGGAGCCGACCUUGAAAUACCACCCUUUAAUGUUUGAUGUUCUAACGUUGACCCGUAAUCCGGGUUGCGGACAGUGUCUGGUGGGUAGUUUGACUGGGGCGGUCUCCUCCUAAAGAGUAACGGAGGAGCACGAAGGUUGGCUAAUCCUGGUCGGACAUCAGGAGGUUAGUGCAAUGGCAUAAGCCAGCUUGACUGCGAGCGUGACGGCGCGAGCAGGUGCGAAAGCAGGUCAUAGUGAUCCGGUGGUUCUGAAUGGAAGGGCCAUCGCUCAACGGAUAAAAGGUACUCCGGGGAUAACAGGCUGAUACCGCCCAAGAGUUCAUAUCGACGGCGGUGUUUGGCACCUCGAUGUCGGCUCAUCACAUCCUGGGGCUGAAGUAGGUCCCAAGGGUAUGGCUGUUCGCCAUUUAAAGUGGUACGCGAGCUGGGUUUAGAACGUCGUGAGACAGUUCGGUCCCUAUCUGCCGUGGGCGCUGGAGAACUGAGGGGGGCUGCUCCUAGUACGAGAGGACCGGAGUGGACGCAUCACUGGUGUUCGGGUUGUCAUGCCAAUGGCACUGCCCGGUAGCUAAAUGCGGAAGAGAUAAGUGCUGAAAGCAUCUAAGCACGAAACUUGCCCCGAGAUGAGUUCUCCCUGACCCUUUAAGGGUCCUGAAGGAACGUUGAAGACGACGACGUUGAUAGGCCGGGUGUGUAAGCGCAGCGAUGCGUUGAGCUAACCGGUACUAAUGAACCGUGAGGCUUAACCUUACAACGCCGAAGCUGUU
rnacentral:rRNA from 1 species